GGAAGGAUCAUUAUCGAAUGAAUUUGAACAGGCUGUUGCUGGCUCUCUCUCUUGAGCAAUAUGUGCACGCUUGUCAUCUUUAUUUUUCCAACUGUGCACACAUUGUAGAUCAUGGUGGUAUUAUUAUUAUCUUGCUUGCAAAUAGAUUGAGGAUUUGCUAUGUCUGGCUUUCCUUGUCAUCAGGUCUAUGUUUAUUUUUCACAAUCUCUGAAAUGGUAUUAGAAUGUGGGCAAAAAACAUAAUAUACAACUUUCAGCAACGGAUCUCUUGGCUCUCGCAUCGAUGAAGAACGCAGCGAAAUGCGAUAAGUAAUGUGAAUUGCAGAAUUCAGUGAAUCAUCGAAUCUUUGAACGCAUCUUGCGCUCCUUGGUAUUCUGAGGAGCAUGCCUGUUUGAGUGUCAUCAAGUUCUCAAACUGCAUCAUCCUUUGGGAGGGGGUGUGGAUUUGGAUUAUGGAGUUUGCAGGCUUUUUUGAUUGAGGUCUGCUCCUCUGAAAUGUAUUAGUGGCAAUGUGGAAAAGCUACUGUGGGUGUGAUAACUAUCUAUGCCUAUGCAGUGUUCUGCUGUGCUGCUUGGAGGAAGGGGAGAUUGAAAUACUUGACCUCAAAUCAGGUAGGACUACCCGCUGAACUUAAGCAUAUCAAUAAGCGGAGGAAAAGAAACUAACAAGGAUUCCCCUAGUAACUGCGAGUGAAGCGGGAGAAGCUCAAAUUUGAAAUCUGGCAGUAUUUGUUUUGCUGUCCGAGUUGUAAUCUAGAGAAGCGUUACCUGUGCUGGACCGUGU
rnacentral:rRNA from 1 species